GUCUCAGUAGUCUAAUGGUUUAAGACGCUUGUACGGAAUACAAGAGAUCCAGGUUCAAGUCCUGGCCAAGGUA
rnacentral:tRNA from 1 species